rnacentral:precursor_RNA from 14 species
ACCUAUUCAGAUACCAGGUCUUCCGAGAGCUGAGAUACAGCGGUCGUUUGAUACUCAGCGAUUUUGUCUCAGCUUCAAACGCAUGUAUCUUGACUCUCGGAUAACCUAGAAAUUUGUUUUUUUGU